rnacentral:lncRNA from 1 species
GCCCCGGGCUGACUGAUCACAGGAAGGAGCAACAUUUUUGAAUUCAGGGGAGGAUUGAGUCACACAGUCCCAGCAUCAGGCACGAUGUGUUACCCGGCUUUGCUGUUUUUCACUCUUCCAGACCACUAUGAUUCAAAUGGAAUUUUAAUGGCAUACUUUGCUAAAACUGUAUCAUUGUCUCCUCCUAUUUGUCUCUGGGUUUGUCUCCCGCCUGAUAAUGCUCUUUGUGUUCAUUUCAGUGUUUGCUGAGCCGUUUCGACUCAGGUAUGUCGGUGGUCUGCUUACAGAGUUUAAGAAUGAUCCUCGUAGUCUCAGGAAUCUUACUGUGCUUUUCAGCUUUUGACCCAUUAACCUAGAAGCAGCCUAUUCUGUAUUUGCAAAUUCUACUAUCCAUGGUAGAGGGUCGAUCAGUUCUGCUAUACCAAAGUGAUUUUAUUUCCCUUGUAGGUUGUUCAUUUCAUUGAUUAUUAGAGCUAGAGAUACUGUCAAUUUUCUCCCCCAAUACUCAAUUCAAUUAAAAAGGCUUGGCUGAUACAGUGUGAUACAAGUACUUUUUUCUUGCACUGACUAACAUGACACUUUCUGCACCCACCAGCUGUUUGUUAUUGCCACACAGUAAUCUACUUGAAACUGGUUGUUUAGCACUGGACAGACUGGUUACUUUAUUGAUCAAAGGGACAGACUGAUUAAUCACUUGGCUGAUUAAUUUGGCCAAUUAACAACAUUGUGAUAUGAUCAUAACAGCAUCAGCCCUCAGAAGGCUGAUACCAGCAUUUUUGUCUCUAAAUCAUAAGACAUCUUUCUUAUCUUCCAUGAACAGCAUAUCAAGCCUCAAACAGUCACUGACUAGUGUUUUAAUAUGAUACCAUGUUAUAAUGUUUAGAAAUGACAGCAAUAUCGGCCAUGUUUAGCAAUCUCUAGCAUAACCCAACAUCUGUGUCUUUCCAUUGUUGCUAGGGCUGCACGAUUAAUCGAUUUUAAAUUUUAUUUUGAUUAUUUGAUUAUGAUGAUGUUAAAAAAUUUUAAACCGUGUGUAACUCCUUUAUGGCGCCGGUGUAUCUCCGGCCAAAACAACCUUUAUACGCAUGCUCUGUACUCUUCUUCUGUCUUUUGUGCAUUUCCUCAGCAGCGUUACAGCACUACUUACUGGCUUGGCAUAUGCACAACAUUGUUUUCAGUGGUUUCAUUUUGAGAGAUGAUAGUGAAACUUAUUAAAUUGAAGUUUGCUGAAGUUGUCACUGAAUAAAAACUCGAAAUCAAAAAUCAAGUUUUCAGAGAAAAAAAUCUGGAUUUCAUUUUUGGUCAAAUUGUGCAGCCCUAAUUGUUUCAUUAAAAAAUCAAUUUAAACCAUAUUACUCGCAAAGACAACCAUGUAUAAUCAGACUUUAAUAUGUAUUUAAUUAUAAAAAUGUGCAUGACUUUCUUUUUUAUAUUUUAACCCAAAUAUUUACCUCAUAAAAUUUUUCUUUCUUAACAGUUUUCGAUCGCUUGACAGAAAUCAAAGUCCUCUAACACAGCCAAAUGUUUUUCAAUCCAGGCCUGUUUUAUUAUCAAGUUUAGCAAUUUGUAUUCCAAUGGUUAGUACUAUUUAAUUCUAGUUUUUGUAAAAUGCCCCAAAAAAAAAGAAGCAAAAUAAUACAAUGUGAAAUCAGCAUCAUGUAUUAGCAAUCAGCCGAACUGCUCAUACUCAGUAUGAGCGCUGGCCAGUAAAAGACUGUGUUUGGUCGAUCUCUGAUUGGUAUAUUCAUCUGAUAUGAAUAUCAGUAUGGUGGCACUGGUAUCAACAUACUACAGAUAAAAUAAUCAAUAAACAGAUACUUUAACACAGCUGUGCACUUGACAUAACACAACACCAUAUCUCCUUCGCAGACACUGUAUCAUGUUGAGGGAAUUUUCCUUACAGCACAGCGAUGGUUAAAGAUAUUAAACACUAGAUUUGUUUAACUGUUACUAUUUCAGGUGGAUAGAAAUAUAGAAUUAGCCAUAUCCUUGACCUGUACUGUGGCACAUCAUGCUGCCAACAUGAAUUAAUAUGUCGGUGAAAACUCCAGCCAUUAUAACCUUUAGAAACAGAGGGAAAUUACAAUUCCUGUAUUAUGCAGGUAUUGACAUUCUCAACCAGCUGCCAGGCAUGGAUGAGUUGUAAUACCUUGAGGAGCUCACCUAUUUAUAUUCAUAGUCGUUCCCAUACAGGAGGGGGCAGUGCAGUGAACCUCUCUGCCUUCAGCCAGCACAGGGAUUCAGAGAGAAAAGCAUGGAUAAAGUGAAAGUUUAAACCCAGGGCUUAUGCACACAGAGACUGUAAUCCAGACAAAAUCUCCCUCCACUAUCCUUGACAAUCAACUUAAGGAGACGACCUUUAGAUAUACUUUCGGUCACAUACUCUACUGUCAAGGACGUGUAAAACAAGCAACUUAAUCAAUAGGUAAGGGUCAAAUCUGCAGCUUAAAAAAGUGAAAAAGAAAAGUCGUAGCUGAUUUAACACCAUCUGAAAUUUCACACAGUUCCUAGCAGGUUCACUGAAUGAUCGA